GUGCACCAGGCGCGAAAACUUCACAAUGUGCGAAAGCACGAUGAGGGAAUCCCAAGUGCUUGCACGUAAGUGUAAGCUGUUUCUCUGUCUAAAACGCAGAGAGAGUAAGGGCUGGGUAAGACGGGUGCCAGCCGCCGCGGUAAUACCUGCAGCUCGAGUGGUGACCGUUAUUAUUGGGCCUAAAACGUCCGUAGCCGGUUUAAUAAAUGCCUGGGUAAAUCGGACCGCUUAACGGUUCGAAUUCCGGGUAGACUGUUAAACUUGAGACCGGGAGAAGUUAGAGGUACUCCUGGGGUAGAGGUGAAAUUCUGUAAUCCUAGGGGGACCACCAGUGGCGAAGGCGUCUAACUAGAACGGGUCUGACGGUGAGGGACGAAGCCCUGGGGCGCAAACGGGAUUAGAUACCCCUGUAG
rnacentral:rRNA from 1 species